rnacentral:lncRNA from 1 species
GAUCAGCUAGGACAGGCAGUACUGAGCUCAUGCUGGUGUUGUGGUUUCUGUGCCAGCCGUGGGAUAACAGAUGGUGCCUGCUCCUCCUCUCUGCAAUCGCAUCGAGUUAGGCUGAGGACAGAGGUUACCUGAUCUGGUGCAGAGCCUGCCAGGAGAAAGUUGAUAUGCCAGCGCUUUUGGAAUGCGUUUGAACGGGCUCAGGAAGCUUAUACUGGAUCAGCACUUCACGGCUAUGUGCUUGUAACAUGUUUCCAUCCCUUAUCAGAUGCCUCAGAAAUGAAGCUUGUUAAAAGAGGGUCUCCAGCACAGCCCAUCUCUGGCUGGUGUUUUGCAAGCUGGUUUUAUUCCUCUUCUCUUGGAGCUGGAUGAGAGUGAGAGAUGGCAUUUCCUACUGUGCAGUGAGACGAAGUUCCUACGCUGAACACUCAAACUCGUCCGACUCUUUCCUGGCUUCUGAACCGUUUUUUUUAAAGACUCACAAUUAUUUGCCCAAAACUGUUCUGAAGAUUGAGCAAGCCUGAUCCAGUUAACACAUUGCCUCAGCUUCAGGAGAAGCUAGUAGUUAUGUUCUGCUUGGUAAAACGGGGGUGAAGGCGGAGGUUUUGCACUUGUUAGAGAAGGCAGCGGAAGGGGCGGACGUUGCGGGCGCGGAUGCAACGCCAGCAAAGGGCGCGCGGGCAGCGCUGCUCGGCGCCGUGGCCAGCCUCCUCACAGUUCAAAUUCUGCUUGCUUUUGCAAAGUUUCAAUAUUUCUCUUUUAUCUCGAUCUUGCAAGCUUCAAAGAUGACACGAAGCCAAGUUCUACCUUGCUGCAGGUGAGAAUUAACCAGCUUGUGCUUCCCGUGUUCGUCCUGUAGAACCAGAAGUGGUUUAUUUUGGUUUUAGCAGUAACUGUGUAACAGUUCCUGGAUGGAUGCAAAACCAGGAGUUUCAGAAACUUUUUCUUAAGAGAUGCUUUUCAAAGCCAGUGUGACCACCUUUUGCUUUCGGGUGCAAAAGCUUAUGCAAAUACAAGCAAUCUUCCCCAUUUGCCUGCGUGACCUGUUCCUGUAGGCAGGGAGUGGAGAGGAGAGGAGAUUACAAGAGCUGCUCCGUCAGAAAGCUUCGGCAAGUACCGCCAGUCGUUCCUGGUGUGCUUCAAGCGCUGGCGCCCGAUCAAGGCUCGUCAGAAUAACUGCGCUCACGAUGCUGGCAGCGGGAGCCUGAAGCCAGAGGAGGUCACUAGCAGAAGGUGACGAUUAUCCGGCUUACAGAAGUGCUCCCGCCAGCACCUUGCCAAGUGAGGCGACUUCCUCUCGCAGGAGACCCUCCCUGCCCACGGGAGAAGUCACCUGCGAUCCUUUAAUGAGAGCUGCGAGCGAGGCAGGCGCAAAGGGCAGGGACGAGCAAAGGGGGUGCUGUGAAAAACGCAAGAUGGCAAAACGACAGUUGUAACACGGCAGAUAAGCAAGAGAAACCCACAUCUUCAUGAAAUGACAACACUCUUGUUUUUUGGAUCACAAGCCUGAUCUGUCAAUUAGCA